AAUCCAAAUGCAGCCUAGACCAGGGGUGGUCUGGCCACUCCCAUGGGUGCAAAGGAGCUGGUGGUGCCAUCAGAUGUAGGAUCUUGCAAAGUUUUUCAUCUGAGACACCUGAAUGAGUCUAAUGUAUUUCCACAAUCUGUAAGGGCAAUGGUGAGGUACGAUGACCCUCGCACCCCAGAAGAUGCAGCUAUCCUGCAGACUCAGUUCUGUCUUUUAUUUAGGAUAAGGCCUCAGAUCCUCUCCUUCCACAACACUGGGCCAAACAGCAGCAGCUGUUGAAACUAAUCCAUCCUCCCACACGCUCCUGGCUGGACUCAGGCAGAGAUGCUCCUAUCUUACUAUCCUGUGAGUGCUGGACUCCAAGGUCUACCUGGAAAUGAAGGGAUCAUGUCUUUUGAAUGGCUGGAAGACUUUUAAUGUGAAAUAUCAGUGCAGAAAAUGUGGACUUUGAUUAUCAGCAGUUUAACAUCGUCAAUGACAUCAUCAAAAUUUCAACCCCAGGUUUGAUAUCCAAUUGACUCCAUUGUGUUCUUUUGCUGUUAGUGAAGCUAAAACAUAGAGGCUGACUGAGAAGUUUCGGUAUUAUUAAUGUAAAUACCGCUCAGCUUCUUUUGGUGGAUGCUAGAGGAGGUUAAGAGUUUGUUACACUUCCUUCAUUGCUCAGUGCUGCAGUUCAUCUCCCACUCUUCAUCUGCCAGCCUGAAAUUAAUUGAUGUGAAGGACCCUUAACCCUCUCUGACUCCACUAACCAACAUCUAUGCUUCACAAUCCAUCACUUCGUGCAGCAAACCCUACCUUCUGUUGAAUUGCAAAUGCCGUGAAAGUGAAUUUUAAUUAUCCAGUCAGCUUGAGCUGGUGUGAGAAGAUGGAUGUCCCCGAUGACAAGAGUCCUCAGACACAGAAGAACGUCAAGUGAACUGAAAGAGACAGAUUAACUUUACAUAACAUAAACUGAUGGGCUUCUAGGCAUGUCGGAGAUGGGUUAAGAAAGGACAGUUUGACAACUUAACAAACAGGCUUCUGUUUAUGACAAACAUGCAGUGACAAGUGCAUUGCCAAAUGGUCAACAGUAUUCUGAACACUGGCAAACAGAAGAGUUAUGAUAAGACUAUAAGUGUUUUAUUGUUUGGCUAUGUUCAAAUCCAAUUUCACAGUGUUUAUAUUUUCUGUCUCAGAGAGAGAAGUGUAAUUUGCCUCUGUUCCUAAUCCUAUCUUGUUUUAAAUGAAAAUGUUUAUGUAGUGAAAUUCAUUCUAGAUACAAAUCUAUUAGAUUCUUUCAUUAAACUGACACUGACUAGUCAUUAUGACAGAACUUCUGCUGUGGAUUUGGUUACAGAUUGGACACUGAUCAUGCCAACACUGUGCUGUGCAGCUACAGCAGACAAUCAUAGCAAGGCAUGUAUGAUGUAACACACUGCUGACACACAUGAGCAGCAGACAUGUUCAGCUGACAGACAGUUUUGGUGGAUAUCCAGUUACACUGUGAUUUAACGUUUUAUAACAAGAUUUUACCUGCUGAUAACUGCAGGAACAGACAGCUGGAGAGUUGAAGAGCUGCAGGACGAAAUGCGAGGAGGAUUUCUGUUUUUUGUUGGGUUUUUUUGUGGCUGCCAGCAGCUCUUCGUCCAAUGGACAAGUAAUUUUUGGGAGCUAAAAAUGGCACCGCAGUA